GGGCGCAAGCCUGAUGCAGCCAUGCCGCGUGUAUGAAGAAGGCCUUCGGGUUGUAAAGUACUUUCAGUCGUGAGGAAGGCGGUGUCGUUAAUAGCGGCAUUGUUUGAAAAUAGCGACAGAAGAAGCACCGGCUAACUCCGUGCCAGCAGCCGCGGUAAUACGGAGGGUGCGAGCGUUAAUCGGAAUUACUGGGCGUAAAGCGCAUGCAGGUGGUUUGUUAAGUCAGAUGUGAAAGCCCGGGGCUCAACCUCGGAAUAGCAUUUGAAACUGGCAGACUAGAGUACUGUAGAGGGGGGUAGAAUUUCAGGUGUAGCGGUGAAAUGCGUAGAGAUCUGAAGGAAUACCGGUGGCGAAGGCGGCCCCCUGGACAGAUACUGACACUCAGAUGCGAAAGCGUGGGGAGCAAAUUUUAUUAGAUACCCUGGUAGUCCACGCCGUAAACGAUGUCUACUUGGAGGUUGUGGCCUUGAGCCGUGGCUUUCGGAGCUAACGCGUUAAGUAGACCGCCUGG
rnacentral:rRNA from 1 species